rnacentral:rRNA from 1 species
CCUACGGGUGGCAGCAGUGGGGAAUAUUGGGCAAUGGGGGCAAGCCUGAUGCAGCAACGCCGCGUGAAGGAAGAAGGCUUUCGGGUUGUAACCCUCUAUUAUCAGGGACGAAGCAAGUGACGGUCCUUGAUGAAUAAGCCACGUCUAACAACGUGCCAGCAUCAGCGGUAAUCCGUAGGUGGCAAGCGUUAUCCGGAUUUAAUGGGGGUAAAGGGGGUGCCGGCGGGACGGCAAGUCUGAUGUGAAACCUAGGGUCACACCCCCUAGCCUGCAUUUGAAACGGUACUGCUGGAGGGCUGGGGAGGCAAGCGGAUUUCCUAGUGUAGCGGUGAAAUGCGUAGAUAUACGGAGGAACACCAGGGGCGAAGGCGGAUUGCUGGACAGUGACUGACGCUGAGGCGCGAAAGCGUGGGGAGCAAACAGGAUUAGAGACCCUUGUAGUC